rnacentral:misc_RNA from 1 species
GAUGAAGAACGUAGCGAAAUGCGAUAAGUAAUGUGAAUUGCAGAAUUCAGUGAAUCAUCGAAUCUUUGAACGCACCUUGCGCCUUUUGGUAUUCCGAAAGGCAUGCCUGUUUGAGUGUCAUGAAAUCUCAAUCCUCCUAGGUUUUUGACCUGGUUGGACUUGGACAUGGGCGUCUGCCAGCAAUGGCUCGCCUUAAAUGACUUAGUGGAACAUCCCACAUCAGUGUUAGACGUAAUAAGUUUCGUCUCUCCUUGUGGUGAUGACUGCUCAUAAUCUGCCAUCGCGCCCUUUUGACUUUGACCUCAAAUCAGGUAGGGCUACCCGCUGAACUUAAGCAUAUCAAUAAGCGGAGGA